UAAGAGGUCCAGCCUGCCCAGUGACUAAUGUUCAACGGCCGCGGUAUCCUAACCGUGCGAAGGUAGCGUAAUCACUUGUUCUUUAAAUGAGGACUAGUAUGAACGGCACCACGAGGGUUAUACUGUCUCCUCUCUCUAAUCAGUGAAACUAAUCUCCCCGUGAAGAAGCGGGGAUAAAACUAUAAGACGAGAAGACCCUAUGGAGCUUUAAACUUAUCCUCAAACGCCAAAAUCACAUAUCAAGUUUCAAACUUCACCACAUGAACUCUCACGCCAUGAGGACAAUUUUAGGUUGGGGUGACCAUGGAGUAUAGAAUAACCUCCAUGCUGAAUAGGCCUCCAAGCCUUGAGCCAAGGGCUACGACCCAUCGCACUAAAAUAUUAACAUCCAUUGAUCCA
rnacentral:rRNA from 1 species